rnacentral:rRNA from 1 species
GACGAACGCUGGCGGCGUGCCUAAUACAUGCAAGUAGAACGCUGAAGAGAGGAGCUUGCUCUUCUUGGAUGAGUUGCGAACGGGUGAGUAACGCGUAGGUAACCUGCCUUGUAGCGGGGGAUAACUAUUGGAAACGAUAGCUAAUACCGCAUAACAAUGGAUGACACAUGUCAUUUAUUUGAAAGGGGCAAUUGCUCCACUACAAGAUGGACCUGCGUUGUAUUAGCUAGUAGGUGAGGUAAUGGCUCACCUAGGCGACGAUACAUAGCCGACCUGAGAGGGUGAUCGGCCACACUGGGACUGAGACACGGCCCAGACUCCUACGGGAGGCAGCAGUAGGGAAUCUUCGGCAAUGGGGGCAACCCUGACCGAGCAACGCCGCGUGAGUGAAGAAGGUUUUCGGAUCGUAAAGCUCUGUUGUAAGUCAAGAACGGGUGUGAGAGUGGAAAGUUCACACUGUGACGGUAGCUUACCAGAAAGGGACGGCUAACUACGUGCCAGCAGCCGCGGUAAUACGUAGGUCCCGAGCGUUGUCCGGAUUUAUUGGGCGUAAAGCGAGCGCAGGCGGUUUGAUAAGUCUGAAGUUAAAGGCUGUGGCUCAACCAUAGUUCGCUUUGGAAACUGUCAAACUUGAGUGCAGAAGGGGAGAGUGGAAUUCCAUGUGUAGCGGUGAAAUGCGUAGAUAUAUGGAGGAACACCGGCGGCGAAAGCGGCUCUCUGGUCUGUAACUGACGCUGAGGCUCGAAAGCGUGGGGAGCGAACAGGAUUAGAUACCCUGGUAGUCCACGCCGUAAACGAUGAGUGCUAGGUGUUGGAUCCUUUCCGGGAUUCAGUGCCGCAGCUAACGCAUUAAGCACUCCGCCUGGGGAGUACGACCGCAAGGUUGAAACUCAAAGGAAUUGACGGGGGCCCGCACAAGCGGUGGAGCAUGUGGUUUAAUUCGAAGCAACGCGAAGAACCUUACCAGGUCUUGACAUCCCGAUGCUAUUUCUAGAGAUAGAAAGUUACUUCGGUACAUCGGUGACAGGUGGUGCAUGGUUGUCGUCAGCUCGUGUCGUGAGAUGUUGGGUUAAGUCCCGCAACGAGCGCAACCCCUAUUGUUAGUUGCCAUCAUUCAGUUGGGCACUCUAGCGAGACUGCCGGUAAUAAACCGGAGGAAGGUGGGGAUGACGUCAAAUCAUCAUGCCCCUUAUGACCUGGGCUACACACGUGCUACAAUGGUUGGUACAACGAGUUGCGAGUCGGUGACGGCGAGCUAAUCUCUUAAAGCCAAUCUCAGUUCGGAUUGUAGGCUGCAACUCGCCUACAUGAAGUCGGAAUCGCUAGUAAUCGCGGAUCAGCACGCCGCGGUGAAUACGUUCCCGGGCCU